GAUUAGCCCGGGUAGGGGGUACUCGCCAACCCCCUCCCAAGGCGUCUCCGACCUACAAGCCCUCAGUGGCCCGCCGGCACCCCCCGGCCCCAAAAUCAGGCCCACACAAAACCUCCCCUGCCUUCUCCAGUCGGCCGAGCGCAGAGCGGGAGCGGCCAGGAACCGAGACAGCUGAAUGAAGUCGGCGCGACUAGCGGGAACCGAGGAAAGGUGGCUGCGCCGCUCCACUCUACAGGUCACAGCGGCUCCGGGACCAGAGCAUAACCGCAGCCCCUCCCCACCCAUUCCGGGGCCUGCCUCAGACCCCGGGCGGCUCGCUCCGCCCCGCCGCGCCUCACAACAUCUCCCGCUGCAAAUGGCCCAAUCCGGAGACGCGACGAGAGAACACGAGCCAAUCAGGGGCUGCUGACUCAGGCUUCCCUCCACCCUUUGCCCCUCCCCUGUCCUCCUGCUGGUGCUGUUGAGGGUCAUUUGUAUCCUCACUCCAGCGGGGGACUGCCAGCUAUUGUGUCUGAUCAGCUGCCACCACCAUCCUGAGGGAAAAAAGGGAACAAAACCAAGAAGCUACGGGGUCUGCUUACCUAUUCCUUCUUACCACACUACCCCCUGAAGAUUUUAAGACACCUCCCCAUCCCCUGCUCCCCGCCCGCUGCCUGGGGUCCUGUUUCUCCAUGAGGAAAAAACCAAACAAACAAAUAA